GAUGAACGCUGGCGGCGUGCCUAAUAAAUGCAAGUCGAGCGAACGGACGAGAAGCUUGCUUCUCUGAUGUUAGCGGCGGAAGGGUGAGUAACACGUGGAUAACCUACCUAUAAGACUGGGAUAACUUCGGGAAACCGUAGCUAAUACCGGAUAAUAUUUUGAACCGCAUGGUUCAAAAGUGAAAGACGGUCUUGCUGUCACUUAUAGAUGGAUCCGCGCUGCAUUAGCUAGUUGGUAAGGUAACGGCUUACCAAGGCAACGAUGCAUAGCCGACCUGAGAGGGUGAUCGGCCACACUGGAACUGAGACACGGUCCAGACUCCUACGGGAGGCAGCAGUAGGGAAUCUUCCGCAAUGGGCGAAAGCCUGACGGAGCAACGCCGCGUGAGUGAUGAAGGUCUUCGGAUCGUAAAACUCUGUUAUUAGGGAAGAACAUAUGUGUAAGUAACUGUGCACAUCUUGACGGUACCUAAUCAGAAAGCCACGGCUAACUACGUG
rnacentral:rRNA from 1 species